ensembl:lncRNA
AAUCAGCAGUUCUUCUCCAGAGACUACGAGGCUGCACUGUACACACCCUGAUACAAAUCUCACCUCAUCACAGAUUCUCUGAACUUCAUCAUUAGCCUCCUGCACCUCCGAGGUCCCUCCGCACAAAGAUGACCACGAUGGGAGCUCACAGCAUUGCACGUAUAGCAGUCAUAGUGCUGGCCAUUGUCGUCUAUAUAACUGUCAUUACAUUUAACGCACUUGCAGCACAAGGGACUGGUCCUUUUCUGAGCAAGACUGCAAACAUCUCUGAUAAAUAUGUCACUCAGAUCACUCCAUCAGGAUGGACCUUCUCUAUCUGGGGUGUGAUCUAUUUCUGGCUGACUCUUAUGUUAAUCUACAUCGCGACAACUGUAUUCAGAAGGAAUGCGUACGGUCCUAUGUACUGCAGCCCGUCUGUGCUGCCUUAUGGCUUCUUCAUCUCCUGGAUUGUGAACAUGUUGAUUAACAUUGGCUGGCUCCUACUGUGGGAUAGACAGGUGAUGAUUGCAGCACUGAUCAUGCUGGCCCUGAUUGCAUUCACAAACUACUUGGCGAUAUUCUUCUCCUGUUACGGACUCAAAGAGUACGGAGCCUGGCUAAACAAGUAUCACACAAACGAUCUCUGGUGCAUUCGAAUACUGGUUCAGAACGGACUGGCUGUGUAUGCGACAUGGACAUCCAUUGCUACUCUGAUCAACUUCACCAUCGUAGUGAGUUACGAGGCUGGAAUGAGCCAGUCAGACGCAGCAACACUGUCAGCGUCAUUGCUUUUGGUGGAGGUGGCUGUUUGGUUUAUUCUGGAAAACUUUGUGAUUGACAAACAUGUGCGUUACAUCCUGACCAUCUACCCUGUGAUCAUCGUGGCCUUAUCUGGAAACAUGACGAAAAACUUUGACGCUUCAGCUCCCAGCCGCAAUGGCAUAUUCAUUGCUGUCCUGCUGGCACUAACCUGUGUGCUGUUAGUAUUGCGGGUGUGUCUGGUGGUCUGGAGGCACCUGAGACGGCCCUUCUACAGCGGCAGCCACACAGAGGAAAUUGGGUCACCUAUGGAAGCAGCUGAAAGACAGAAAAAGUUCUUCAUGUGAAAAUGCCCUGGACAUGUGCUGAGCUACUCAGUCUCCUGAGAGACACUGUAAAGUAAAAUAACUUGUAUUAAGUAAUCUGUUUAUGUAUCCAUCUUUCUACUUGACUAUCUUUUAUUCAUUUUAUGUAUUUUUAUAAUUUAUGUAUGGUGGCACUUGAAGACAUUUUCAUAAUCCAUGAUAUGUAUCUCAACAUCUCUUUUUGUGAUGAAGCAUUUGGUUGGUUAGUGUUCUUCAUACAUGGUUCAGUGUAUCUUAUACAUGAUACGUACAUGAUGCGUUCAGAAAAGCGUAUUGUAGAGUAAUGUGUCACGAUAACAAGAAAAUAUCAUCUUAUUGCCACCCCCCAGAAGGUAUUCCAUAUUAGGAUCCAGCAUCUCUUAGCAAAGUAUCUUUCAUUAACAACUUUUUUUUUUAAUGACAAGUGGUUUGUUAGCAAUGACUAGUAUUUGUUAGCACUGCAAAAUUUGGACAUUAAGUCUUGAUUGGUCAAUUACAUCUGGGCCUAAUUGUGAGAAACUGUGUAAAUUACAUUUUUGGUGUAAAUGCCGGUCUAAGGUUUAUAAACAUACGCCCCCACCCCCCAAUAUGUGAAUGUUGUAUUGCUUGUUCUCAAGCAAUAAAGCCAUAUAGUCUAAUGUGAAACUGGGUUCUUUUCAUGGGAAUUCCACUGUAUACCACUUAUCUGCUCUUUUUUGGUGUAUUUACAAUGUUUUCCUGGUAGUUUUGUACUGAUCACAAGAGCACUGAAGGUUUAUGUGCAUUUAUGAAGAUACUGUUUCUGAACAUGCUCCACUUGCCUCCUGUGACCCUCUGUGAGCCACCCACUUUACCCCACAGAUCCUAAUUUUUUAUGACAAUUAUUUGUAUUUUAAUCCCAUUAGGAGUUUUGCAAAUCCUGUGGCCAUGUGCUGAUGUCUGUUAUUGCUUUGCUGAAAAUAAUUUCUGAGACCUUCUCAAAAUAAAUUAAAACUAUGACAAAUUUA